UUCCGGUUGAUCCUGCCGGAGGCUACCGCUAUUGGAGUUCGACUAAGCCAUGCGAGUCCAGAGCUUUCGGAGCUCGGCGUACCGCUCAGUAACACGUGGGUAACCUAACCUAUGCAGGGGAAUAACCUCGGGAAACUGAGAAUAAUGCCCCAUAGUCCACUACGCCUGGAACGGUGAGUGGAUCAAAGCUCAGGCGGCAUAGGAUGGGCCUGCGGCGUAUCAGGUUGUAGGGGGUGUAAAGUACCCUCUAGCCAUCUACGCGUACGGGUGUUGGGAGACAUAGCCCGGAGAUGGAUUCUGAGACACGAAUCCAGACCCUACGGGGUGCAGCAGGCGCGAAAACUUGACAAUGCGAGCAAUCGUGAUCAGGGAACUCCAAGUGGCUGGGGUAAGACCCAGUCUUUUCAUAACUCUUCAAAGGUUGUAGAAUAAGGGGUGGGUAAGGACGGUGCCAGCCGCCGCGGUAAUACCGGCGCCUCAAGUGGUAGUCGCUUUUAUUGGGCCUAAAACGUCCGUAGCCGGUUUGGUACAUUCGUGGGUAAAUCAACUCGCUCAACGAGUUGAAUUCUGCGAGGACGGCCAAACUUGGGACCGGGAGAGGUGUGGGGUACUCUCAGGGUAGGGGUAAAAUCCUGUCAUCCUGAGAGGACCACCUGUUGCGAAGGCGCCACACUAGAACGGAUCCGACGGUCAGGGACGAAGCCUAGGGGCACGAACCCGGAUUAGAUACCCGGGUAGUCCUAGGUGUAAACGCUGUGGACUUU
rnacentral:rRNA from 1 species